UACGUAGGGUGCAAGCGUUGUCCGGAAUCAUUGGGCGUAAAGAGCGCGUAGGCGGUCCGGUAAGUCCGCUCUGAAAGCCCGGGGCUCAACCCCGGGAGGCGGGCGGAUACUGUCGGGCUAGAGUCCGGAAGAGGCGAGUGGAAUUCCUGGUGUAGCGGUGAAAUGCGCAGAUAUCAGGAGGAACACCGAUGGCGAAGGCAGCUCGCUGGAACGGUACUGACGCUGAGACGCGAAAGCGUGGGGAGCAAACAGG
rnacentral:rRNA from 1 species